rnacentral:ncRNA from 1 species
GUGGUGCUGAUCUUGCCAAGAUUAGGACUGAAAAGGGAAUCAGGUGAAAAUCCUGAACAGACCCGCUGCUGUAAGUUUCGAUAAGAUUUCGGUAAACCACGAGCCACUGUCUGUUAAAGAUGGGAAGGCUACCGAGAUGAAACAAGUCAGAAGACCUGCCAAAAUAAUAG